UACAGAGGAUAGGUUAUAGUUGAUUACCUUCAGAAUUAUACCAAGCAUUGUUCACCAUUUCAGAAUAUCAUAUCACCAAUCGACGAUGACAGUACCACUCUUGGAAAUUUCAUUUUGAGAACUGAUUUAAGUUUGUGGCUGUCACACUCAUGAUGGCUGAGGCUUGCCAGAACUCCAUGCUUCUCCAGAAACUAUCCCUCAGGCAACUCUGAGGUCCACUUAAACCAAACUCCAGCAAAAGGGAGAAAUCUCCUGUUUCCUCAAAGAGAAUCCAUACAUGUAAGUACUAUGCACUAACCGAUUGCGCAACUGGAGCUCCAUGGAAUCCAUACAUAAAGCAUACCUCUUCGCUUCUCCUUGGCAUCCAACCUGUUGGCUCUACAUUUACUUUCAACGAUGAGUCAAGACUGUACCUGGCAAGAAGGGAGUUCAAAAUCAACAACAAAAGCUAUUUAUUUUGGUUUUGAUCUUAGCCCUGGGCAUUUUACUAAGUAUUCAGAACUGAUUUGUUUAAUGAAUGAAUACAUGAAUGAAUGGUACAUUUCCAUUGUCUAUUCUGCUUCUUUUCCCUAGAGAACUGUGUUAGGCUGUGAUUUCCUUGUUGUUUUUUUCUUAUGUUUGUUUUAGCUGUACAACCCUAGAUUAAACCACUAGUGCAUUUAUGUAUUUCUCUCUUGUUUUAUAACCCCCUAAUUUCUUAUUUUUGUUUAAACAGAAGUUAAAUAGUAAAAACUUUGAAGUAUUUAAUUUUGUUUAAUUAAAAAUAUUUAAUAAACAUUC